GAUGAACGCUGGCGGCGUGCCUAAUACAUGCAAGUCGAGCGAACGGACGAGAAGCUUGCUUCUCUGAUGUUAGCGGCGGACGGGUGAGUAACACGUGGAUAACCUACCUAUAAGACUGGGAUAACUUCGGGAAACCGGAGCUAAUACCGGAUAAUAUUUUGAACCGCAUGGUUCAAAAGUGAAAGACGGUCUUGCUGUCACUUAUAGAUGGAUCCGCGCUGCAUUAGCUAGUUGGUAAGGUAACGGCUUACCAAGGCAACGAUGCGUAGCCGACCUGAGAGGGUGAUCGGCCACACUGGAACUGAGACACGGUCCAGACUCCUACGGGAGGCAGCAGUAGGGAAUCUUCCGCAAUGGGCGAAAGCCUGACGGAGCAACGCCGCGUGAGUGAUGAAGGUCUUCGGAUCGUAAAACUCUGUUAUUAGGGAAGAACAUAUGUGUAAGUAACUGUGCACAUCUUGACGGUACCUAAUCAGAAAGCCACGGCUAACUACGUGCCAGCAGCCGCGGUAAUACGUAGGAGGCAAGCGUUAUCCGGAAUUAUUGGGCGUAAAGCGCGCGUAGGCGGUUUUUUAAGUCUGAUGUGAAAGCCCACGGCUCAACCGUGGAGGGUCAUUGGAAACUGGAAAACUUGAGUGCAGAAGAGGAAAGUGGAAUUCCAUGUGUAGCGGUGAAAUGCGCAGAGAUAUGGAGGAACACCAGUGGCGAAGGCGACUUUCUGGUCUGUAACUGACGCUGAUGUGCGAAAGCGUGGGGAUCAAACAGGAUUAGAUACCCUGGUAGUCCACGCCGUAAACGAUGAGUGCUAAGUGUUAGGGGGUUUCCGCCCCUUAGUGCUGCAGCUAACGCAUUAAGCACUCCGCCUGGGGAGUACGACCGCAAGGUUGAAACUCAAAGGAAUUGACGGGGACCCGCACAAGCGGUGGAGCAUGUGGUUUAAUUCGAAGCAACGCGAAGAACCUUACCAAAUCUUGACAUCCUUUGACAACUCUAGAGAUAGAGCUUUCCCCUUCGGGGGACAAAGUGACAGGUGGUGCAUGGUUGUCGUCAGCCCGUGUCGUGAGAUGUUGGGUUAAGUCCCGCAACGAGCGCAACCCUUAAGCUUAGUUGCCAUCAUUAAGUUGGGCACUCUAAGUUGACUGCCGGUGACAAACCGGAGGAAGGUGGGGAUGGCGUCAAAUCAUCAUGCCCCUUAUGAUUUGGGCUACACACGUGCUACAAUGGACAAUACAAAGGGCAGCGAAACCGUGAGGUCAAGCAAAUCCCAUAAAGUUGUUCUCAGUUCGGAUUGUAGUCUGCAACUCGACUACAUGAAGCUGGAAUCGCUAGUAAUCGUAGAUCAGCAUGCUACGGUGAAUACGUUCCCGGGUCU
rnacentral:rRNA from 1 species